rnacentral:rRNA from 1 species
UGGGGAAUUUUGGACAAUGGGGGAAACCCUGAUCCAGCCAUCCCGCGUGUGCGAUGAAGGCCUUCGGGUUGUAAAGCACUUUUGGCAGGAAAGAAACGUCGCGGGUUAAUACCCCGCGAAACUGACGGUACCUGCAGAAUAAGCACCGGCUAACUACGUGCCAGCAGCCGCGGUAAUACGUAGGGUGCAAGCGUUAAUCGGAAUUACUGGGCGUAAAGCGUGCGCAGGCGGUUCGGAAAGAAAGAUGUGAAAUCCCAGAGCUUAACUUUGGAACUGCAUUUUUAACUACCGGGCUAGAGUGUGUCAGAGGGAGGUGGAAUUCCGCGUGUAGCAGUGAAAUGCGUAGAUAUGCGGAGGAACACCGAUGGCGAAGGCAGCCUCCUGGGAUAACACUGACGCUCAUGCACGAAAGCGUGGGGAGCAAACAGGAUUAGAUACCCUGGUAGUCCACGCCCUAAACGAUGUCAACUAGCUGUUGGGGCCUUCGGGCCUUGGUAGCGCAGCUAACGCGUGAAGUUGACCGCCUGGGGAGUACGG